ACUCAGCUGACGAGUCGCAAGUGGGACGAAACAAGCGUCCUGAGU
rnacentral:hammerhead_ribozyme from 1 species